AACGCGAAGAACCUUACCUGGGUUUGACAUAUACCGGAUCGCCUCAGAGAUGGGGUUUCCCUUGUGGUCGGUAUACAGGUGGUGCAUGGCUGUCGUCAGCUCGUGUCGUGAGAUGUUGGGUUAAGUCCCGCAACGAGCGCAACCCUUGUCCUGUGUUGCCAGCAAUUCGGUUGGGGACUCGCAGGAGACUGCCGGGGUCAACUCGGAGGAAGGUGGGGACGACGUCAAGUCAUCAUGCCCCUUAUGUCCAGGGCUUCACACAUGCUACAAUGGCCGGUACAGAGGGCUGCGAUACCGUGAGGUGGAGCGAAUCCCUUAAAGCCGGUCUCAGUUCGGAUCGGGGUCUGCAACUCGACCCCGUGAAGUCGGAGUCGCUAGUAAUCGCAGAUCAGCAACGCUGCGGUGAAUACGUUCCCGGUCUUGUACACACCG
rnacentral:rRNA from 1 species